rnacentral:lncRNA from 1 species
AGUAACCCUAGAGGAUAGGGUACCCUAGAGUGAAGAGAAUUGGAUCAUGCUCACGGUCUAUUUUUAACUUGUGAUGGAAGCCCCACACAAGAAGUGCGCUCCGGAGUUGGUCACGUGGGAUUGCCUAUUUUGGGUCCCAAGGGAUUGCCUAUUUUGGGUCCCGGCAGACGGUCUCGGUUCGUAGUGCGAGUUGACCCUCCCUACCUUCGAGAUGGCUAGUGAGCAGUAGGCGAGCUUUUAGAGAAGCCACGAGAUUAAGAAACAAGUAAAUGAGAUUGAUGAAUA